rnacentral:lncRNA from 1 species
AAAAAAAAAAAAAUUAUGAACAAACUCAUUAGACCUGAGCAAAUUUGCAGAAGAUUUAACAUAUUACAAUGCUUGUUUUCACAGUUAUCAUUUACAGAAAAUUACAAACCAAAGCAACUAAAAUUUACUCUCUACAAACCUCCUACAAUGGUCUACAUCUAUUUGAGUUUAUUUUUCACUAUCUUCUUACACUUUGGAACAGGCAUUUUACAUUAGGAUGAUGUUACUCUUCCUCUCCUUCUGUCAGCUAGAAGAGUCUCCAUUAUCUUGAUUCACAAUCAUAGUGCUCUACCACUGUUACUUCUAGUACAGGUUCCAUCACCAAUAUUAAUUACGCUCUAAGGAAAAUAACUAACUGCCAUUACAUAGAAAUAAUGGAGGGGUAAGUAAUUGAGAAAUUUCAUUCCCAAGCAUUUUAGAAAAUCACAAAUACAAUCUGGCUUCCUUUUUAAGUAAGAGAAAUCAGCAUGCAUACUAGUUUGAUCCAAAAAUGUAG